rnacentral:rRNA from 1 species
UACAGAGGUCUCGAGCGUUAGGCGGAAUUACUGGGCGUAAAGCGUGCGCAGGCGGUGAUGUAAGACCGAUGUGAAAUCCCCGGGCUUAACCUGGGAACUGCAUUGGUGACUGCAUUGCUGGAGUAUGGCAGAGGGGGGUGGAAUUCCACGUGUAGCAGUGAAAUGCGUAGAGAUGUGGAGGAACACCGAUGGCGAAGGCAGCCCCCUGGGCCAAUACUGACGCUCAUGCACGAAAGCGUGGGGAGCAAACAGG